GACGAACGCUGGCGGCGUGCUUAACACAUGCAAGUCGAACGCUGAAGACCUGGCUUUUGUUGGGUUGGAUGAGUGGCGAACGGGUGAGUAACACGUGAGUAACCUGCCCUCUUCUUUGGGAUAACGCCCGGAAACGGGUGCUAAUACUGGAUAUUCACUGAUCUUCGCAUGGGGGUUGGUGGAAAGGUUUGUUCUGGUGGGGGAUGGGCUCGCGGCCUAUCAGCUUGUGGGUGGGGUGAUGGCCUACCAAGGCUUUGACGGGUAGCCGGCCUGGGAGGGUGACCGGUCACAUUGGGACUGAGAUACGGCCCAGACUCAUGCGGGAGGCAGCAGUGGGGAAUAUUGCACGAUGGGCGAAAGCCUGAUGCAGCGGCGCCGCGUGAGGGAUGGAGGCCUUCGGGUUGUAAACCUCUUUCGCUCAUGGUCAAGCCGCAACUGUGGGUUGUGGUGAGGGUAGUGGGUAAAGAAGCGCCGGCUAACUACGUG
rnacentral:rRNA from 1 species